AGACCAUGGCUCGGGCAUUUCCUAAGCAAUUCAGUGAACCUCUUCCACGCUUCCGCAAAAGACUCAUCAUAUUUCUGUCGGAAGGUAGUGAUCUCCUCUCUCAACUU